UUGAGAAGCAGGGAAAUCAUUUGUUUCAUUUUGAUGCUUGUUUGCCUUUUUUAAACUGAUACUACCAUAAUUUCUGUCUCAAUCUGCAUUUCUUAACAGAAAGGGCAUUUGAAACUGAGCUCCUGCUAUUGUCGUUGCUUUUUCACACACUGUUCUGUCUGCAGUUUCAUUAGUAAACUCUUUCCCGUUGAUUCCUCCCUAUUGCUCGGACACAUGAAUGUUUACCAGCAGUAUGAGUUUCAGGAUAAUGUGUGAGAUUAUGGAGAAAAAAAGUAAGAGCAUAGAGGCCCAGAAGGAGCUGGAGAUUAGGUCAGCGUUACCUUGAAGAAAUGAGUGAACAAACAAGUUAUGAAGAAGGUCUACACACAUCACCAUGCACGUGUGGAUAAUUUUUAUUUAAUGAUAUUGAAUGUCUCUGGCCAAAACUGAGAAUCAGAUAACUGUCAUGGAAACCUAGCGGUACCAGCAGCCCCAAAUCAUUCCUAGGAGCAAGCAGCCUCCCUUGUUGCAGGAGGAGGCCAGGAUUUUCUGCAUGGUGGCUCAGCCUGAGAACAGUGCCGGAGCUGAGCAUUUGAUCUUUCUCAGUUAUCACCAGCCAUCCCCUUCCAGGCUGCUGUAAAGCAAUCCGUUCCAGUUGAAAGAGUUUAUCUAAAGAAGGAUCAGUUGUCAAAAGAGACAAGCGGCAACAAGGAGUUGGAAAUGCCAGGGAGGAAAGACUACACCUCCAGAUCUUCUCUCAAGGCUUACUUACCCAUCAUUAACUAACCCAUCGUUUAUUCAAUUAACUCAUUUAUUUUGAGUUUGCAUGAUUGCAGAAUCCCAAAUUAACCACAUGGGCUGGGUAUCCAUAAUAGAUUAGAUUACAAUCUGUUAGCUGUGCUGAUCAGAGCCUAUGAUACACAGUACAUUUGUUCAUAGGCCAUUUCUAAACUGAUAGGAAUUUAAUGCAACUCAAGAGCACCUUUAUCUUGAUCAUUCUCUAACUCAGCUCUCUGUGACAGUGGAACCUAUUGCUUCUUAGUAACCCAACUGACUUCAAAUUCCUUGGCCCGGAAAAGCUGAUCUAAAUACUCUUGGUAUUUAAAUAGACCGCUUGCCUUGUGCAUGAUUUCCAUGAUUGCAUGAAGAUGGGUUUAUAGGAAGGAUUUCUUUUAGCAUUCAACUCAGAGCCAAACUAGAUCUUAUAAGGCAGUGGUGGGUUUCAAAAAUUGUUCGAACCUACUCUGUGGGUGUGGCCU